UUAGAAAAUAUAAAUAAUAGAAUGGAUAAUUUCUCUACUACCAUCAAGAAUCAAAUUAGCUUUAAUAAAAUGAUUGAAUCUCAGUUAAAUCAAAUAGCUGCUGCUGUUCCUGCUACUAACCCCGGUAUACCAUCACAACCGGAAGGAUUAGAAUCUGCAAAUCUUGUAGACAUGUUUGAUGCACGUAACUACUGGAGUAACCCCAUUGUGGAAGUAACUACUGACCUUCUGCCGGUCAAGAGAGGCGAUCCAGCACACCCCGUCAUCCCGAUCUCCAUCGGCAUGGUGGACUUCCCAGAAGCACUCUGCGACUUUGGCUCCAGCGUCAACAUUAUGCCCAGGGUACUCUCUAAAAAAUUCUUUACAUAUCCUUUACUAGAAACAACCAUGUGUUUACAGCUUGCAGAUCGGACACUAAGUUUCCCUAAGGGAAUAUUGAAGAACCUCUAUGUCCGAGUUGGUACCUUGUACGCCCCAGCAGACUUCGUGGUGACAGAGACCGGUUCUGAUGAGAGGGCACCCAUCAUCCUAGGGAGGCCAUUCCUAAACACCUCAGCAGCUGUCAUCUACGCUAGUGCUGCCAAGAUCAGUUUCUACAUCAAGGGGAGGAAGGAGACAUUUUCCUUCAAGAACAAAACUGCACAAAUCCCAGAGCAAUCCCGACAUGAACCAAGGAAGAGGACCAACAGGAGGAACAGGAACAAACAAGUGUGGACCGAGUCAGCUAAGAUGGUCACUGCAGUUCAUGGAGGUCAAGAUCGUCGACUCAAGUCACCGUUCCUGACCAAGAAGGACGACCCAGGUAUGCCAAGCAUCCAGUGCUCCAUUAAUGGAUACAACUUCCACAAGACGCUUUGCGACAACGGGUCGGGCGUCAACAUAAUGGUCGCAGUCACCUAUCAGCUCCUAUUCGGAACCAUGCAUAUAUUCAGCUCCAGAUGGCAGAUCAGACAUUCUGAAAGGUUGAAGGUAUAGUAACUGAUGUCUCUGUCAAAAUAGACAAUCAUUUUGUCCAUACAUACUUUCAGGUUAUUGACAUGGGAGAAGAUGAGUACGAUCCACCCAUCAUCCUUGGGAGACUGUUCCUUAGCACCGUUAAAGCAAUCAUCUACAUUGGAACCGGAGAAGUCCACAUGCACUUCCCCUCUAAGAAGGUACGCCGCUAUUUUACUGACCCUAAAUAUAUAGUUGAAGACUCCAAGCAUGUCAGGACAAGAAGAAGACGACGCAACCGCAACCAGAGGAGGCAAAUCAUCAAGGACUGAUGGGCAGACUAUGAAGGAGAAGUGGUAAGGUCUGAAGACAUACAGCUUGAACAGAACUGUCCUAAGGAGUAGCACCAAGUCAGGUGCGGAGAGAGAAGAUAGUUAUACACGAAGAGGAGGCGCCACCAGAACCACCGACUACGCCAUCCAGUGAAUCCCAAGACGACUGAGAAAAUAGAGAGUCCCAUUCGGAGGACUUAAAAACACCGAACGUCUUGCGAACGUCUUGCUAAGAGGUAAGCUUGGUAGUUAUCCUUUUCCUUGCAAUUAUUUAAAAUAGUUUGCUUAGUUAAUCAGGUUCAUAUCAUCUUGAAAAGAAAAAAAUAAAAAUGCUAAAACCAGUAAGCCCCAUGUGAGUAUACAAGUGACAUAAAACUCAUAAGUACAUUCACUGUGGUGGCAUAAAAAAUAUAAUAAAUUAAAAAUAUUCUUCUGCUCUAUAAAAAUGAAAAUAUAAAAAUAAAAUCACAUGAUAAAGGCUAGAUAUUUAUGAUAACACCUAAUCAGUUCCACAAAGCUUUGUUGUCUAUUUGAGCUCCACAGAAUUCAAGGAUCAAGAAGACUAGUAGACGGAGGACAUCCUAAUCGCUGUCAGGGCACUGCCGACAUUCAAAUAUACCUCCACCACCUGCUAGCUACAUCAGAAGAAAUUACAUCAAAAUCCAGCUUGGGGGAGAGCACCCCCAUUUAUCCCGCUAAGUAUUUCUAUAUACAUUUACACUUAUACUAUAUUAAAAUAAAAAUACACAUAACCAUAAAAAACCAAAUAAAGAUUUUGUGCUUAUAUAUAUAUAUAUCUUUUGCUUAGUGUGCUUAAUAAAUAAAUAAAGUGGCUAUGCUAAACUAAAUAAAACUCUAGCAUGGAUAUGAUGAAUAGUUGCUCUGCCUAAUUUUCAAAUUUGAGUUCUCUCUCAAUUUUAGACAUAACUGUUAAAAUUUAAAGCUUGUUCUAAACUUGAACUUGUGGGAAGAGAACUUGAUCGGAAGUCUAAGUUGUUAACGGAUAUGAUAUGGGAAGGUUGACCUGUUGUUUAUCUGUUCCUAGAGAUGCUAGAAAUCUAGAGAGUUUUAUCUUUGAAAAUCUUUAAAAUAACACAUGAUGAGUUCCCGUAUGAUGAGAGUUUUAAUUCCUACCACAACCAUAUAUACAUGCUUGCUAUACUUUGAGCCACAUAUUUACUUUUUCCUGCUUAUGAUCAUUGAGUGUGGUCAAGUUGUGUAGACCCUUAGGAGCUUGUCAUGUGGUUAAAAUCAAGAUUCACUUGCACGUUCACUCACACAUGCUGCUUCUACUCCGGAAGUACGCAUCCACAUAUAUCCACUCAUUUCCAUCUCCAAAGCCACCCAAAAGUAUUCUACUCCUAAUCUAGGAGAGAAUAGCCAAAAACAUUCUCCUAUUUCUGUUUUUCCCUGUGAAAUAAAUGCUCGAGUUAUCUUGGUUACUACCACUUGCUAUAUUAUUUCAGGAGAUGAGUGCUCUAAAAAAAGAAAGAGGAUACGAGGAAAUAAAAAGGGGCAAGUGCCCGAAACCUCGAAAGAAAAGAAAAAGUGAGACGAGAGGUAAAAAUGGAAAGUGUCCGACAGUAGAAUUAGGGGGUGCAAUACCCAUCUGAGAGGAAAGAAAAAAGAAAAUAUAGAGCAUCUCAUUCUCCUCAAAAAGUUUCAAAAGAGCAAGAAAGGUAUGUAUCCCCUCAGAAGAGCAAAAGUAGAAUUAGACUUUCACCAUUGUUAUCACCAUCAUCACCAUACACCAUUCAUUUCACCACACAUGCACAUCUUGAUUUGACUUACUGACUUGUUUCUCUGGAUCCAUGGUUUGACUAUGCAAUAAAUGUCUUGUAAGUAUGUAUACUUUAUCUCCCACCUAUGAGCUCCAGAUAUCAAAAACUUAUUAGAGUAGGGUAAGAGAGAAGGCAAUAUCACUAUGCCUCAUACCAAAAAUACAACAUGCUAUGAGAGAAGGCAUAUACCAUCACUGCCUUGGUAAGAAUCCAGAAAUACCACAAAAGAGAGAUCUGAGAGAGUCAUACAAAGGAAUCUCUGAGUUUUAUUUGAAAAACUGCAAAAACUCGAGAACUAUAGUUGAUUAAGAAUAAGAGACAUGGCGCUUGACUAGACCAUUCUAUCUUUUAACUGUUCAAUACAGAAGUGACGGUUACAAGUCCCAUGGUAAAAAGUAAAAUGAGUAAGUUUUAAGUCUUGACGGUUCACUCUAACUCAGAGAUGAGACCUUAUUUGAAAGCAUGUGUACCGUCAACUUUUAAAGGCAUUACAGCAGCUUCUGAUCCAUCACUGAGUCUAUCCUUGCUCAGGGACAAGCAAGAGGUAAGCUUGGGCGAGUUUGUUGAUGGUCCUUAAGUAUCAAAUAUAAUCAACAAAUAAAUAGAGAAAAGGAUCUAAAUGCAACCGACACCUAGACUUAGAGUUUUAUUUGACAGAAUUCCACGAGUUUUGGUGUUUGUCUAUUUCUGCAGGGGGUUAUCAAGAAUUAUGGAGGAAAGGCCCACACGUCGGGUUUACAUAGAGAUAUUAAUGUGCACCGCAAUCCAACAUCUAGAAGAGUCCAGAAGCCACGGGAACGAGCGGGAGGCCGAGCAGGCCUGGGGACAGGGCGCCCGCCCUCCCCCCUUGGGCGGCCGCCCUGGCUUGAGAGCCAAUCAGGCUCCACCUCGUGGAUCAUGCUCCACUGACCUAAGGGAUUAAGGAAAAUUAUGCGAUUAAGGUCGGUUUGAUCCGACGGCUCAUAUUCAUUUCGAAGGACUAUAUAAGCAGGCCCUAGCCCCUGGAGGAGAGGACCUCGAAAGCCCUAAUUCAUUCAUUCAUCUUGGGAGAAGAAGUCUCUGACCAAGCCCUAGAGCCACCACAUCAACUAGAUCUCUAGUUUAGCAUAGC
rnacentral:lncRNA from 1 species